GGCCCUUUAGCUCAGCGGUCAGAGCAUGCGACUCAUAAUCGCCCGGUCGCCGAUUCAAAUCCGGCAGGAGCCACCA
rnacentral:tRNA from 2 species